rnacentral:rRNA from 1 species
UACGUAGGGGCUAGCGUUGUCCGGAAUCAUUGGGCGUAAAGGGUGCGUAGGCGGGUCUUUAAGUCAGGGGUGAAAUCCUGGAGCUCAACUCCAGAACUGCCUUUGAUACUGAAGAUCUUGAGUUCGGGAGAGGUGAGUGGAACUGCGAGUGUAGAGGUGAAAUUCGUAGAUAUUCGCAAGAACACCAGUGGCGAAGGCGGCUCACUGGCCCGAUACUGACGCUGAGGCACGAAAGCGUGGGGAGCAAAGCAGGG